rnacentral:rRNA from 1 species
AAUCUUCCACAAUGGACGGAAGUCCGUUGGCGCAACGACGCGUGAGCGAAGAAGGUUUUCUGAUCGUAAAGCACUGAUGCACGGGCCGAAUACGUACGGGGGUCCCUGCCCGUUCCACGACGGUACCUUUUCAGAAAUCCACGGCCAAUUAAGUGCCAGCAGCCUCGGUACUACGUAGGUGGCAAGCGUUGGCCGGAAUUAUUGGGCGUAAAGCGCGCGCAGGAGGUCCUUUAAGUCUGAGGUGAAAGCCCACGGCUCAACCGUGGAGGGUCAUUGGAAACUGGAGGACUUGAGUACAGAAGAGGAAAGCGGAAUUCCACGUGUAGCGGUGAAAUGCGUAGAGAUGUGGAGGAACACCAGUGGCGAAGGCGGCUUUCUGGUCUGUAACUGACGCUGAGGCGCGAAAGCGUGGGGAGCAAACA